rnacentral:rRNA from 1 species
AGUGAACGCUGGCGGUAGGCCUAACACAUGCAAGUCGAACGGCAGCACAGUAAGAGCUUGCUCUUACGGGUGGCGAGUGGCGGACGGGUGAGGAAUACAUCGGAAUCUACUUUUUCGUGGGGGAUAACGUAGGGAAACUUACGCUAAUACCGCAUACGACCUACGGGUGAAAGCAGGGGAUCUUCUGACCUUGCGCGAUUGAAUGAGCCGAUGUCGGAUUAGCUAGUUGGCGGGGUAAAGGCCCACCAAGGCGACGAUCCGUAGCUGGUCUGAGAGGAUGGUCAGCCACACUAGAACUGAGACACGGUCCAGACUCCUACGGGAGGCAGCAGUGGGGAAUAUUCGACAAUGGGCGCAAGCCUGAUCCAGCCAUACCGCGUAGGUGAAGAAGGCCUUCGGGUUGUAAAGCCCUUUUGUUGGGAACGAAAAGCAGCAGGUUAAUACCCCGCUGUUCUGACGGUACCCAAAGAAUAAGCACCGGCUAACUUCGUG